CGCAGCUGGAGGAGGGUUUCCGCCGGUUGUGCGGGGACCGCGGCUCAGUAGUGUGGGUGGACGAGGACAGCGGGUGGAACUGGUCCUUCUGUGACUUUGCAGCCCCGGCUUGGUGAUAAUUUUUGUGCAGGCUUCUUGACAUGGAAAGCAGAGCUCCCCAGCACAGAGUGAGCCUCCGAAGGGCUCCUGCCCUUACCGGUGCCCUACCCUCCCUUUCCCUGCUUGCUACACUUGGGUCCGGGACUCAGCCUCCCUUUGCAAGCUUCUGCUCGGCCUGUGUGCAGCUGCACUUAGCUGGCAGGGUCAGGCGUUGAGUAGCCGCUCCGCUCCUUCUGCAGCCUCCUGCAGCCCCCGCCAGCUCCCGGGCUCCAUCCCUCACCAUCAGUUGCUGAUUGGCGCCCCCUGCGUGCACAACGGAGGCUGGCUGCACCUGGAGGUUCCCAGCAAUUCCAGGCCGGCUCCAGCCUAGCCAAAGCAGCUAACUUCUCUGCUGUCUCGUGGGCUGAACCUCACCGUUUCCCAAGAGGAGCUGCCUGGCAAUGGUAGCAGGUGAAGGUCAUGGUGAAGAAGAUGCAGAUAUUGGCAAUUUGGAGCAUUAGAUGAACUAAUUACAACGUUAACCUAAGGAACAGUGCAACAGAAAAUGGGCUAAGACAUGGAGCAAGGGGCAGAACGACUCUUGAAGAUGCUGAGCAACUUCUGAAAGUUUCAACUACAGUGCUGUUCUGUGAAGGGGAAUGGGUGCUGGAGAGCUAAGCAGGAAGCAGGAGGCAGGAGGGACUGUCUGCAGCAAUCAGCAG
rnacentral:lncRNA from 10 species